rnacentral:rRNA from 1 species
UACGAAGGGGGCUAGCGUUGUUCGGAAUUACUGGGCGUAAAGGGCGCGUAGGCGAUGUGUCAAGUCAGGCGUGAAAGCCCCGGGCUCAACCUGGGAACCGCGCUUGAGACUGGCACGCUCGAGUUCGGGAGAGGAUGGUGGAAUUCCCAGUGUAGAGGUGAAAUUCGUAGAUAUUGGGAAGAACACCGAUGGGCGAAGGCAGCCAUCUGGACCGACACUGACGCUGAGGCGCGAAAGCGUGGGAGCAACAGG